AUACCACUGCACUCCAGCCUGGGUGACAGAGCAAAACUCUGUCUUAAAAAAAGAACCCCAUUUAAUACAGUGGCUAAGAAAACUGUGAUUGUACAGCAUUAUGUUCAAAUGACUAAUAUAAGGAAAUAAUUACAAUGUAAUGAUAUUUUUGUUAAUACAUUUAAAAUCCUUUGGUUCAAGUUUGUUACUCCAAAGAAAAUGUAACUAUUUUCAAGUAAACCAUGACAGUUCUUUUUAAACUCUUCUAAUUCCCAUUACUUCUUUUCAGAGGCAACCACUGUUAGGUACUUAAUUCAUUAUACAAUCAGGCGUAUGUACUUCGAGUCUUUUUCUGUGCAUUUUGAUAUGGAUUGGCUGUGUCCCCACCCGAAUCUCAUCUUGAAUUGUAGUUUCCCACAGCUCAAUUCUUUGCCAAUUAUUUGCAGGCACUUCUUUCUCAUCAUCUCAUCUCUGUAUUUCUGCCUUCUCUUUUGUUUCUGCCUCAUUUGUCAUGUCCCCAGAAUUCCCAGUGAGGAAUUCUACAUCACCUGGGAAGAUGGACUCUGCAUCACCAAAAACAGGCCUAAGCACCACAAAAAUGUUGGGGCUCUCAUAAUGUCUCCAGCAACACCAUUUAGAGCAACCUAGAUAAAGGCAGUUGCUCCACACAGACAGAAGCAAAUCAUCCUCCGGGCCCCACCAGCUGCGGUUUAUUUACCAGGCUGGUAUUCCAAACAGAAGCUCCACUCACUUCAUCUCUUCUUCAGGCUUCAGAGGAUGCCAGACACAGGUGGCAGACACCUACCCUAUGCCAUGGCUGAAGUCCUGAGUAAGCUUGUUAAUCAAAGUUUCUCCAGCUUCAUCUAACAACAGGGGUGUGCUGAAUAAAACUCCCAGUCAACUGUUGGCUCUGCUUCCUUGAAAGGAAAGCAGUGAAACAGGAAAGGCAUCCAGCCGAGAUAAAAGCUAAGCUAACAAAUGAUAGCAUUUCUAAAACAAAUAAUUGGACUUGAAUGCACUGGAAUGAAAUAGAAGAGGAGGGAGUGUCAGAGAAGAGCACAGGACGAACCCAACCUUCUGAUCAACAGAAGGCAGGGGGCUGACAGAAGACCUUGAUAUAACAUGUAGGUCUUUCUGACAGUUUUCCCAAGAAGCUGCCCGCCUAUAUUAGUCUACCCUUCCUGUUUGCUUCAUACUUACAAGAUGCAGGCUGAAAGGAUAUGUUAGGCUGUCAUUCUAGGCUGAUAAUUAUUUUCACUGCUCUGUUUAAGAAAACAGUCUAUUGGGGAGAAACACAGAGUUGUUUGAGAAGAAAUAGCCUCAUCAUUUUAGCAUGGACAAGGAGUAGUGAAAAAUGACGAUCAAAUGUGAAGAUGGAAAGCUUUGGGUGGUGAAGACAGGAUCAUGCCCAGGCCUUGAAGGUCACAGUCUUGCUCCUACAUCAAGGUGAUCUCUGAGUCGCUGUGCUGUGUAAGUAUUAAUAGGCCACUGGAGAGUGCAGAAGAAAACCAUCCCAAUGCCUGCUUUCUUAGCACCUUCUCUGUACCAGGCAUUACAUUAUCUUGGAAGGGGCAUAAAAAUAAGCAAGACAUCCUUGUUCCCCCAGGGGCACAUUAUUCAGCUGAAGUAAUGGGAAAUCAGGAGCAUGUGACUCAUUUGAAGAGUGUCAGCGGGAUUUGGUGACUGUCUUCAUUAAAAGUCCUUUGAUUUCAAGGAUGAACUUUACCUAACAUUUGGUUGGGGGAGGGUAUUGUUGGUGCUACAUCAUGGAAAAAUUAAGUAUUGUAAAGGGCAGUAAUACAGUGGAGUCUCAGAGUCAACGGAAACCGAGAACUUGAAUACUACGAAGAACUCAUUUUUUAUUCUAAGCAACUUCAUCCUUCUUUAUUCUUUCCCUGCUGAUUAUCCUAUAUUUCUCUAGUAGAGCAUUCAAUAGAAUUCAGCUGUUAGAGAAUUUAUUCUUGUCCUUUCUUUAUUCCAAGUCUAAAAGUCCUAGGAGAAAUCUCAUUGAUCCAUCUUGAUUUGUGUUCCAUCUGUGAUCAACCCUCUGAAGUAAAGGAGCAGUUCUUCCUCCAAGAGCAUAGAUGCUCUAGCAGGAACCUUGAAGCUACUCUCUUCAACAUGACAUCAAACUUGACUUCCCCCUUGGAAGCUAGAUUUGGCCAUGUGAUUAGCUGCAGCUAAUGUUUGUGAGUGCAAGCCUUACAAAUUGAUGUGCAGAUUGCUACAUCCCCUUCCCACUGCCAAAUGAUGGUGAAAGCAUGUGUCAAAAUGAUGCCUCUUGAGUCUCCAAAUCCUUCUUCUGACUUGCUCUGGACAUGUAAUAUAAUUGAGCAAACUAGACCAUUUUGAGAGUAAAAGGGACAACAGGCACAAUUUGAAAAUGUAUGCUCAUCCUAGCGAAACUUGUUAUGUUAAGCCACUGAGACCUGGGGGUUGUUUUUUUACUGCUGCAUAACGCAGCCUAUCCUGAUUGAUAUAUCAAUGCAUGUAUAAAAAUCCUCAAUAGCCCAUUUGUAGAAGUGUAACAAAUGACUCACGUUGCACUAUAACUGUGUGAGGUUGAUAAGAAAAUGGAUUCUAACAUCUAGGCCUAAGGUUAGUCAGCUACAUUGAUGCUGACAAGCGAGUAACCUGCUGGGAUCCAGAGCUCUUGGCUUCCAACUGAAAGCUUUUCUUCAGAUCUUUCCAAGGAAAUGUUACCAAGGAGCUACAUUUAGGACAAAAGCUGCUGACAUGAGAAAAGGGUUAGUAUAGCCCAGAAAGACUAGCCUCAGUCUUGCCUGUAUGACCCUAUCUGCUUAAGAGUAUGGCAUCAAGUGUUCACCGCAGAGCAGCUUGAGCCAACCUACAGAAUGUUUGAUUUGACCAGCAGAGUACUGUAGACAAAACAUGAAUUUGCAUGCCUUUCGAUUGAGCAAGCACUCUCAGGUUUGCCAUUGCCCUCUGUUUCUUCCUGUCAUUUGAUCCUACUCUUUUCCACUUCUUCACUUUAGUUACAUUACUCACCUGGCUUCUGAAGGCGUUUGAGUUUGGAACUCUGCAGAGAAGCAUUGUGCCUGAAAAGGAAAGCAUAGCAGACUGUGUGGAUGGAAACAGGACGCUUCACCUCUGCAAUGUUCCUUCCAUAAGUCCAUAACCUCAGUCUAUUCAUGAGAAUAAUAAUCAGACAAAUCUAGAUUAGGAGACAUCCUACAGGAUAACUGGAUAGUAUUCCUAAAGCCUAUGAAGGUCAUGAAAAACAAGGAAAGACUGAAGACUGUCAGAGGCUAGAAGCAAAUGGAGAGACAUGAAAACUAAAUGCAUUGUGGUGUCCUGGAUCAGACACCAAAAUAGUAACAGGUCAUCAACAGGAACAUUGGUGAAGUCUGAAGGAUGUCUGAAUUAAGUUAACAGUUGCAUACCAACAAUGGGCUCUUAGAUUUGACAAAGGUACCAUGGUAAUGUAAGAUGUUAACAAUGCAAGAAAUUGGGUGAGUGGUAUACAGGAACUCUCUGUUGCUUAUAUGUGCAAAUUUUCUGUAAAUCUAAAAUUAUUCCAAAAUAAAUAUUUUUAAAAUCCUU